rnacentral:rRNA from 1 species
GACGAACGCUGGCGGCGUGCUUAACACAUGCAAGUCGAACGGAAAGGCCCUGCUUUUGUGGGGUGCUCGAGUGGCGAACGGGUGAGUAACACGUGAGUAACCUGCCCUUGACUUUGGGAUAACUUCAGGAAACUGGGGCUAAUACCGGAUAGGAGCUCCUGCUGCAUGGUGGGGGUUGGAAAGUUUCGGCGGUUGGGGAUGGGCUCGCGGCUUAUCAGCUUGUUGGUGGGGUAGUGGCUUACCAAGGCUUUGACGGGUAGCCGGCCGGAGAGGGUGACCGGCCACAUUGGGACUGAGAGAGGGCCCAGAGGCCUACGGGAGGCAGCAGUGGGGAAGAUUGCAGAAUGGGGGGAAGCCUGAUGCAGCAACGCGGGGUGGGGGAUGACGGCCUUCGGGGUGUAAACCGCUUUCGCCUGUGACGAAGCGUGAGUGACGGUAAUGGGUAAAGAAGCACCGGCUAACUACGUG